AUUGAACGCUGGCGGCGGGCUUAACACAUGCAAGUCGGACGAGUGGCGGACGGGUGAGUAACGUCUGGGAAACUGCCUGAUGGAGGGGGAUAACUGCUGGAAACGGUAGCUAAUACCGCAUACUAUCCGAUGCGCCCAUGUGUGAUUAGCUGGUUGGUGGGGUCACGGCCCACCAAGGCGACGAUCACUAGCGGGUCUGAGAGGAUGACCCGCCACACUGGAACUGAGACACGGCCCAGACUCCUACGGGAGGCAGCAGUGGGGAAUUUUGGACAAUGGGCGCAAGCCUGAUGCAGCCAUGCCGCGUGUAUGAAGAAGGCCUUCGGGUUGUAAAGUACUUUUGUCAGGGAGGCGUUACCUGAAGAAUAAGCACCGGCUAACUCCGUGCCAGCAGCCGCGGUAAUAC
rnacentral:rRNA from 1 species